GAUGAACGCUGGCGGCGUGCCUAAUACAUGCAAGUCGAGCGAACAGACGAGGAGCUUGCUUCUCUGACGUUAGCGGCGGACGGGUGAGUAACACGUGGAUAACCUACCUAUAAGACUGGGAUAACUUCGGGAAACCGGAGCUAAUACCGGAUAAUAUAUUGAACCGCAUGGUUCAAUAGUGAAAGACGGUCUUGCUGUCACUUAUAGAUGGAUCCGCGCUGCAUUAGCUAGUUGGUAAGGUAACGGCUUACCAAGGCAACGAUGCAUAGCCGACCUGAGAGGGUGAUCGGCCACACUGGAACUGAGACACGGUCCAGACUCCUACGGGAGGCAGCAGUAGGGAAUCUUCCGCAAUGGGCGAAAGCCUGACGGAGCAACGCCGCGUGAGUGAUGAAGGUCUUCGGAUCGUAAAACUCUGUUAUUAGGGAAGAACAAAUGUGUAAGUAACUAUGCACAUCUUGACGGUACCUAAUCAGAAAGCCACGGCUAACUACGUG
rnacentral:rRNA from 1 species